UUAUUAAUAUAAAUGGUUAUACGAGUUUAUAAAUAAGAUUAGUAAGUGGCAGAAAGUUUGAAGGGUGAAUGAAUCAAAGAAGCAUGAGUUUCGUCAAAAGUUGGCAAGUUGGAAAUACGAUAACUUGUACUUUUGGGUGAUAUUAGGAGUGCUUCACAUGCUAAGAAAGUAAUGAUAUGAAGUAUUUGAAUCGUAUAAUGGUCGCUUGUUAAGUUUGGAAGUUAAACGAGUUGUAAUACGAAAGUCGACAAAGGGCGUCGCAAGUUAAGUUUGUAAAUUUCACUGAAAUUUGGGUCAGAUGUCGAGGAGCUUUUCUCUCAAUCCACUUGGAGUUACGGGGUGAUCCACCUAUCAAAUUGAAGGUCUACGAGUCUAGUUUUUAUAACAUUUUACUGUUCAUCGAUACGACAUCGGAGUAGAGAGAAAUUUGCAUUUCCGUCCAGGGACGUAAACUGCCACGGGAACAGUGUGCUAGGUCGGUGGCAGCUUAUUCCCUUUUGUAUAAAAGACCCACAAAUCAUCUUGGACCUUCAUUUUCUCUAAGAUACAAACCCUAAGCACUCCCUAUACUCUCUCAAACAUUUCUCCAUCAAUCAUAAGCAAAUCCAAAGGCUAAUCAAGUAACUUUAACAGAAGGAAUCACGUGGUAAUCGUAGAAUCAUCAUUUCUUCGUUGUUUCACUUUUCGGAAGAAAUCUUCAACUUGAAAAAAUCUCUGUUUUGGAGUGAUUCUUGAAGUUUAAGGUGAUCGUUCUUAAGGUAUUCGAGGACUCAUGGAACGUGGAAAACUUCAUCGUUAAGGUACGGUAGACGGAUUGGUGUACCUUUCUUAGUAGGAUACCAGAGUUCAGCAGGGAUGUUCGCACGCCAUUCUCCGGAGUUGCUGGUCAGAGUCAUUAAAUAGAAUGCAUGCAUCUAUAUAUAUAUUACGAGUAUGGCUAUGGGUACGCCGGGGCCACUAUCCCGACCAGUUGAUGCAUAUUAGAACUCUUAGAGGCUUACAGACUAUCAGUCAGUGUACAGGUAUUGUGUUUGGCUUUGCCGGCCUUCUGACUAGUUGUCUUUCUUGGUUGUGGCCUUGUCGGUCCUAGUUAUGCAUAUAUGUGUUGUUGGGCCUUUUCUGCUUGCAAGUUGUCAUGAUAUACUUCUUACAAUUGUUAUUCAGCGGCUUUGUCGG